rnacentral:snoRNA from 1 species
UCAUCUGUAAGGUUAAUUCUGACCUGUUGGCCUAUGGCCUUCAGAGUUGAUGAUGACAACAGGUGUAUGACUCAUGAUUACACCUGGUGGGAAUGGGAUGCAACGACCCGGAACCACCUGUCUGAU